UGCAUAUAGAAAUAUAGAUUGAUGAUAUAGAAAUCUAAGAAACUAUGAACUUAUAUAUUUGACAAUUUAAUGAUAUGAGCAUGUGGAUUAGGAGAUUUGAAGUGUUGGUAUUUGGGAGUUUUGUGAUCUGAACGUCUACUGAUGACAAUCCACAAGUUGACGUGAGAAGAGUUUCAUCCAUGUGCUCAGAAGAGCUACUCUAAAUGGUCAGAAUAGAAAAAUGGAUGCCUCAGACGUCUUUUCAGCUGCACUAUUGGCUCAAGCAGUCACACACCAAUUAGGUCAAAAACAAUGGCAGUCGACGACUGUCCUGAGGAUCAAAAACUUUCAAAACCGUCUCCUAAGAUUCUUUUGAGGAGUUUUGUGAUCUGGACACCUGAUGACAACCCACAAGAUAGCUCGUGAAGAGCCUCAGCCAGGUGUUUAGAAGAGUUACGACUCUAAUUGAUCAAAAUACAAAAUUGAACUUCAUAUGUAUUGAACUUCACAUAUGCUUCACACGUAUAUUGGCUCAAGUCAAUAUGCUUUGAGUCGAUCACGCACCAACUCGUGACAUCUGCAGGAACCUAACAAUCGAGAAACGCGGCAAUAUGCUAAAAAUUGAUUCUCUCGCAACCGUAAAAGUUAACGAGGCCAUACUCGUUCGUAAGAAGGCAAACGCGUCGUAGAAGAAUCCGGAAUCCGGUAGAACGGAAAUGCAUCGAUUAUCGCCUCCGCUGCGCUGAUCUAACCGUAUAUCGUAGCCCUUUAGUGGAACAGCUUUGCCUUGUUUUGAAGUUUCCUAGUUUCCCCACUUUUUUUUCCUCUUCCCGCUUUUGUCGCUAGCACGGUCUAUUGACUCGUCUAUCCGUACCACUGUUUUUCUAUCCAUAUAGCUACCGCUCUUUUCCCGUUCUCCUUUUCUCCCUUUUAUAUCCCACUGUUCGCCAACUCGACGCCAUUUGACACGACGAUCGCGAACCAUUU